rnacentral:lncRNA from 1 species
GUUGGUAGCUGUGGCACAGUGGGCCCUGCAGACCUCCACAGUCUUUGAUUCUCCUAAAAUCACUGCAUGCCAGAUGUGUUUGAGAGAAGCAAAGGAGCUGUGUCACUCGGCAAUCUGAAGCUGAUGCCUCAGAAUAUUGAUGCUACAGCAAGCAAGCUAGAUUUUUCUUAUGGACUGAUGACAGACAUCACUGCAGCUAUGACAAAUUGGGGAAACCUACCUGGUGCGUUUAAUUAACAUCCAAGCUGGAAUUAAGGUGAGAAAGCGUUACAGCAACUUGAAAUGUUAUAUUUCUUUAAAAAACAAAACAAAAAAACCCACCU